GGUAUGUGGAUCCCACCAGAAGUUAAAAUGAAAAUAAGCCUUGAAAAAUGAUUGGCGCCCGCCACACUCUUCUGAAAACAUGAAUGUGCUACUGGCCACAAAAAGGUUGGGAACCACUGCUGUAGCCAGAUCAAUGAAAAGCUCCACUCACUGCACAGCUGCCAGCAGAAAAGCGAACGUGUUCAGAUUCACAAGGAAUGGGAUGGAGAAUAACACGGAACGUUUGUAUAUAAAUCACGGGGGCAGCCUCGAAUAUCCUGGGAUCCCCAUGGCUACUACAGCACCGCACACGGGAUAUUUUAAAUCUAUCCUUGAGAACUGGGGAAGAAAUAGGUCUAAAAAGAACUAUUUGAUGAUGAGAGAAAAGCACCCGGUUCUGAAGAGAUUUUAUACCAUGUGUGUGACUGAGAUCAGGGCUCUUAUCGUACUGAGCGUGGCCCUGU